GACGAACGCUGGCGGCGUGCUUAACACAUGCAAGUCGAACGGAAAGGCCCUGCUUUUGUGGGGUGCUCGAGUGGCGAACGGGUGAGUAACACGUGAGUAACCUGCCCCUGACUUUGGGAUAACUUCAGGAAACUGGGGCUAAUACCGGAUAGGAGCUCCUGCUGCAUGGUGGGGGUUGGAAAGUUUCGGCGGUUGGGGAUGGACUCGCGGCUUAUCAGCUUGUUGGUGGGGUAGUGGCUUACCAAGGCUUUGACGGGUAGCCGGCCUGAGAGGGUGACCGGCCACAUUGGGACUGAGAUACGGCCCGGACUCCUACGGGAGGCAGCAGUGGGGAAUAUUGCACAAUGGGCGGAAGCCUGAUGCAGCAACGCCGCGUGCGGGAUGACGGCCUUCGGGUUGUAAACCGCUUUCGCCUGUGACGAAGCGUGAGUGACGGUAAUGGGUAAAGAAGCACCGGCUAACUACGUG
rnacentral:rRNA from 1 species